GAUGAAGAACGUAGCGAAAUGCGAUAAGUAGUGUGAAUUGCAGAAUUCAGUGAAUCAUCGAAUCUUUGAACGCACAUUGCGCCCCUUGGUAUCCCGAGGGGCAUGCCUGUUCGAGCGUCAUUUCACCACUCAAGCCUGGCUUGGUGUUGGGCGACGUCCCCUUUGGGGACGCGCCUCGAAACGCUCGGCGGCGUGGCACCGGCUUUAAGCGUAACAGAAUCUUUCGCUUUGGAAGUCGGGGCCCCGUCUGCCGGAAGACCUACUCGCAAGGUUGACCUCGGAUCAGGCAGGGAUACCCGCUGAACUUAAGCAUAUCAAUAAGCGGAGGA
rnacentral:misc_RNA from 1 species